AUUGAACGCUGGCGGCAUGCUUUACACAUGCAAGUCGAACGGUAGAGGGGGCAACCCCUUGAGAGUGGCGAACGGGUGAGUAAUGCAUCGGAACGUGCCCAGUCGUGGGGAUAACGCAGCGAAAGCUGUGCUAAUACCGCAUACGAACUCUGGAUGAAAGCGGGGGACCUUGUAGCAAUACGGGGACUCGCGCGAUUGGAGCGGCAGAUGUCAGAUUAGGUAGUUGUAGGGGUAAAGGCUCACCAAGCCAACGAUCUGUAGCUGGUCUGAGAGGACGACCAGCCACAGUGGGACUGAGACGCGGCCGAGACACCUACGGGAGGCAGCAGUGGGGAAGUUUGGACAAGGGGCGCAAGCCUGAUCCAGCAAUGCCGCGUGCAGGGAGAAGGCCUUCGGGUUGUAAACUGCUUUUGUACGGAACGAGAAGGUCUGGGUUAAUACCCUGGGCACAUGACGGUACCGUAAGAAUAAGCACCGGCUAACUACGUGCCAGCCGCCGCAGUAA
rnacentral:rRNA from 1 species